rnacentral:rRNA from 1 species
AUUGAACGCUGGCGGCAGGCCUAACACAUGCAAGUCGAGCGGAUGAAGGGAGCUUGCUCCUGGAUUCAGCGGCGGACGGGUGAGUAAUGCCUAGGAAUCUGCCUGGUAGUGGGGGAUAACGUCCGGAAACGGGCGCUAAUACCGCAUACGUCCUGAGGGAGAAAGUGGGGGAUCUUCGGACCUCACGCUAUCAGAUGAGCCUAGGUCGGAUUAGCUAGUUGGUGGGGUAAAGGCCUACCAAGGCGACGAUCCGUAACUGGUCUGAGAGGAUGAUCAGUCACACUGGAACUGAGACUCGGUACAGACUCCUACGGGGGGCAGCAGUGGGGAAUAUUAGACGAUGGGCGAAAGCCUGAUCCAGCCAUGCCGCGUGUGUGAAGAAGGUCUUCGGAUUGUAAAGCACUUUAAGUUGGGAGGAAGGGCAGUAAGUUAAUACCUUGCUGUUUUGACGGUACCAACAGAAUAAGCACCGGCUAACUUCGUG